rfam:Triticum aestivum genome assembly, contig: Triticum_aestivum_CS42_TGACv1_scaffold_031752_1BL
AAGCCAAUGAUGAUUGGCUUUAUGUUGGAAUUACCGUCACAUAGUACCUGAUGACGAUAUUUUUGCGGCCUUCCGAGGUUUAUG